AGCAUGAUUGCUUGAUCAUAUGUAUAAGUGUAUUUAGUUUGCAAGAAAUUGCCAAAAUGUUUUCCAAAGCAAUUAUACCAUUUUGCAUUCCCACUAGCAAU
rnacentral:pre_miRNA from 1 species